AGCAGCCGCGGUAAUUCCAGCUCCAAUAGCGUAUAUUAAAGUUGUUGCAGUUAAAAAGCUCGUAGUUGAAUUUCGGGACCAAUCUGCCGGUCGUGCCUCCGGUACGCACUGGUUUUAUUGGUUUCUCCCUUCUGACGAACCAUGAUGUCAUUAAUUUGGUGUCAUGGGGAAUCAGGACUGUUACUUUGAAAAAAUUUAGAGUGUUUAUAGCAGGCUCACGCUUGAAUACAUUAGCAUGGAAUAAUGAAGUAGGACGUUUGAUUCUAUUUUGUUGGUUUCUAGGAUUGACGUAAUGAUUAAUAGGGAUAGUUGGGGGCAUUAGUAUUCAAUUGUCAGAGGUGAAAUUCUUGGAUUUAUUGAAGACUAACUACUGCGAAAGCAUUUGCCAAGGAUGUUUUCAUUAAUCAAGAACGAAAGUUAGGGGAUCGAAGACGAUCAGAUACCGUCGUAGUCUUAACCAUAAACUAUGCCGACUAGGGAUCGGAUGAUGCUAAUUUUUUAAUGACUCAUUUGGCGCCUU
rnacentral:rRNA from 1 species